rnacentral:rRNA from 1 species
AUUCGCUAGUAAUCGCGCAUCAGCCAUGGCGCGGUGAAUACGUUCCCGGGCCUUGUACACACCGCCCGUCAAGCCAUGGGAGCCGGGGGCGCCUGAAGUCCGGGACCGCGAGGACCGGCCUAGGGCGAAACUGGUGACUGGGCUAAGUCGUAACAAGGUAAC